UAUCUAUGCCAUACCACCAUGAAUGUGCCUGAUCUCGGAAACUAAACAUGUUGGGCCUGAUUACAACAUGGAUGG
rnacentral:rRNA from 1 species